AGAGUUUGAUCAUGGCUCAGGAUGAACGCUAGCGGCAGGCUUAAUACAUGCAAGUCGAACGGUAACAGGCCCAGCAAUGGGUGCUGACGAGUGGCGCACGGGUGCGUAACACGUAUGCAACUUACCCUUUACUGGGGAAUAACCUCGGGAAACCGAGGCUAAUACCCCAUGGUAUUAUUGAAUGGCAUCAUUUAAUAAUUAAAGAUUUAUUGGUAAAGGAUGGGCAUGCGUCCCAUUAGUUAGUUGGUGAGGUAACGGCUCACCAAGGCGAUGAUGGGUAGGGGUUCUGAGAGGAUUAUCCCCCACACUGGUACUGAGACACGGACCAGACUCCUACGGGAGGCAGCAGUAAGGAAUAUUGGGCAAUGGGCGAGAGCCUGACCCAGCCAUGCCGCGUGCAGGAAGACGGCCUUAUGGGUUGUAAACUGCUUUUUUAUGGGACUAACCUAUUCUACGUGUAGGAUACUGCAGGUACCAUACGAAUAAGCAUCGGCUAACUCCGUGCCAGCAGCCGCGGUAAUACGGAGGAUGCAAGCGUUAUCCGGAAUCAUUGGGUUUAAAGGGUGCGUAGGCGGACUAAUAAGUCAGUGGUGAAAUACCUGUGCUCAACAUGGGUGCUGCCAUUGAUACUGUUAGUCUCGAGCUUAAUUGAUGUUGGCGGAAUGUGUCAUGUAGCGGUGAAAUGCAUAGAUAUGACACAGAACACCGAUAGCGAAGGCAGCUGACAAAAUUAACACUGACGCUGAUGCACGAAAGCGUGGGGAUCAAACAGGAUUAGAUACCCUGGUAGUCCACGCCGUAAACGAUGAUAACUAGCUGUAGGCGAUACACUGUCUGUGGCUAAGCGAAAGCGAUAAGUUAUCCACCUGGGGAGUACGUCCGCAAGGAUGAAACUCAAAGGAAUUGACGGGGGCCCGCACAAGCGGAGGAGCAUGUGGUUUAAUUCGAUGAUACGCGAGGAACCUUACCUGGGCUUGAACGUAUGGUGCAUGAGGGUGAAAGCCUUCUUUCCCGCAAGGGACUUCAUACGAGGUGCUGCAUGGUUGUCGUCAGCUCGUGCCGUGAGGUGUUAGGUUAAGUCCUGCAACGAGCGCAACCCCUAUUUUUAGUUGCCAUCAGGUUAUGCUGGGCACUCUAGAGA
rnacentral:rRNA from 1 species